rnacentral:lncRNA from 1 species
CUUCAGCCAGGAGCCCAUACGCAGCGAGUCGCGUUGCAACUGGCUGAUGAACGCCAGAUCUAGCGACCAACUGAGUGCCACUGUGCACCGGUCCUGCUGCUCCAUCACGUGGCAAGGAGGCGGUCAUUCCUUCUCCGAGCUCCGCGGCCUGCAAUGGUAGCUCCUCUGCCCCCUCCUCGCUCGACCGCGUUGCGUCAUUAAGAGCGGAGCGGGUUGAUUUCAAGAAACUAUAAGGGGUUGUUUGUAAAUAUGCGCGAAAAAACGGUUCGGUGUGCCUUACAGAAGGACUGCGAGUUAAUUACUUGAAAA